rnacentral:ncRNA from 1 species
UUAAACGCAUUGAAGAAAAGAGUAGUUUUAUUAAAGCUGAUAAAGAGAGCUCUUGUGUGGUGAGAAAGAGACGGCCGUAUAGAAUGAAGAUGGUUUUGGAGUGGCGAGACUGAACUAUAAUUAGUAGAUAAGUUUCGACAGGUGCGCCUGUUAUAGCGUGAUUAAGUAAUUUAUAUUUUAUGAGUUACUUAUAGAGGCUUUUGUUGUGAGACAAAAGUAAAAUGAAGUGGUAACGUGAAUAAUUCGCCUUCUGU